rnacentral:lncRNA from 1 species
GGCAUUCUUGUACAUGGCAAUUAAAUGUAAUAUUUAAUCACUAGAUGGUAAUUCUUAUUAUUUACCAAUUACUUUUCAUCCUUUGGUAAAUUAAAACAUUUAUACAUUAACAUCGUAAUUAAACCCGAUAAUUUUAAAUUAGGGUUUUCUAUAGAAAAUUAGGAUUUUCUAAUUAGGGUUUCUUAACGCCAUCAAUUAGGGUUUCUAAUUGACCAUUAGGGUUCUCUAAUUAUCUGUGUAUGUUCUAACACAGUCAUUACGAUCUCUAACUUCAACCGAUUAGGGUUGUAAUAAUUAGGGUUUGUCCUAAUUAUCGACAAACAACAGUAAUUAGGGUUUUCUUCUAAUUACCGACAUCUUAUACACAGUAACCUUCAUAUACACAGUAAACUUCAUAUACACAGUCACUACUCAGUCAUUUCUCAUAACUAAGUUUAAUAAUUAGGGUUUCAC